GCCUCCUUAGCUCAGUCGGCCAGAGCGGCGCAUUCGUAAUGCGUAGGUCGUCGGUUCGAUUCCGACAGGAGGCU
rnacentral:tRNA from 1 species